rnacentral:rRNA from 1 species
UCUUGACCGAGACUAGCGACUUGUGCGCUAACUUUUGACUGACCUCAAAUCAGGUAG